AUGCCAGACAACAGCACAGACAAAAAAUCACCGCAAAAUCAAGGCAUAGAAGAGCUUGAACUAGACCAAGAGCCAUGGUGGCAUGCACUCAGCAUGUGAGGUGUAUCCAGGGGGUACUGUGGCAUGCACUCAGCAUGUGAGGUGUAUCCGUCAACUCGACACAGACCAUUUGGGAAGAAGAAACAUCAACUGAGAAAAUACCUGACCAGAUUAGCUGAUGAGCAAGCCUGUGAUAUACUAGCACAUUAAAGGUGGUGCUGCCCCUGGGGAAGUGGUUCUGGAUGGUGUAAGAAAGCAGAUUGAGCAAGACAUGGAGAGGAAGCCAGUAAGCAGCACUCCUCUAUGGCCUCUGCAUCAGUUUCUGCCUUGAGUUCCUGCCACGAUUUCCCCAGAUGAUUGACAAGCUAUAAGCUGAAAUAAAACCCUUUACUCCCCA